AUUGAACGCUGGCGGCAUGCUUUACACAUGCAAGUCGAACGGCAGCACGGGCUUCGGCCUGGUGGCGAGUGGCGAACGGGUGAGUAAUGCAUCGGAACGUACCGUGUAGUGGGGGAUAACGUAGCGAAAGUUACGCUAAUACCGCAUACGCCCCGAGGGGGAAAGUGGGGGACCGCAAGGCCUCACGCUAUAUGAGCGGCCGAUGUUGGAUUAGCUAGUUGGUAGGGUAAAGGCCUACCAAGGCGACGAUACGUAGAGGGUCUGAGAGGAUGAUCCGCCACACUGGGACUGAGACACGGCCCAGCCUCCUACGGGAGGCAGCAGUGGGGAAUUUUGGACAAUGGGCGCAAGCCUGAUCCAGCCAUGCCGCGUGAGUGAAGAAGGCCUUCGGGUUGUAAAGCUCUUUCAGACGGAAAGAAAUCUCUCAGGAUAAUACCUUGGGAGGAUGACGGUACCGUAAGAAGAAGCACCGGCUAACUACGUGCCAGCCGCCGCAGUAA
rnacentral:rRNA from 1 species